rnacentral:misc_RNA from 1 species
GAACGGAAGCUCUUUAAAACGAAGUUAUGUGUAUUGUAUCAAAAGGGUCGUUGUCAUCGCCAGAAUUGCUCCUUCGCCCAUGGAAGUGUUGAGCUUCGACAAUUUUUGGGUUCUUCUAACGGUAAGUGGGACCAUCGAGGUGGUGACUUGAGGGAUAAGCUUGACAAGAGGCUUUCUCCACAGCGUAGAAUUUCUCCAGGAAGAAAUACAAGAAGCCGGCAUACAUUUCAUGGAUCUAGCCCUUCCAGGUCCAUUGAGAAAAACAGUGACAGAAAACGCAGGAAAAAACAGCAUUUUGAUGGUCAAAGUGAUUUAUCCAGAAGUCUGAAAAGUUCAGAUGGGGCAGAAGAUCGGGUUAAAAGAAGAAAAAC